rnacentral:rRNA from 1 species
AGAGUUUGAUCCUGGCUCAGAUUGAACGCUGGCGGCAUGCCUUACACAUGCAAGUCGAACGGUAACAGGUCUUCGGAUGCUGACGAGUGGCGAACGGGUGAGUAAUACAUCGGAACGUGCCCAGUAAUGGGGGAUAGCUCGGCGAAAGCCGGAUUAAUACCGCAUACGCCCUGAGGGGGAAAGUGGGGGAUCGCAAGACCUCACGUUAUUGGAGCGGCCGAUGGCUGAUUAGCUAGUUGGUAGGGUAAAGGCCUACCAAGGCGACGAUCAGUAGCUGGUCUGAGAGGACGAUCAGCCACACUGGGACUGAGACACGGCCCAGACUCCUACGGGAGGCAGCAGUGGGGAAUUUUGGACAAUGGGGGAAACCCUGAUCCAGCAAUGCCGCGUGUGCGAAGAAGGCCUUCGGGUUGUAAAGCACUUUUGUCAGGGAAGAAAUCCUUUGGGCUAAUACCCUAGGGGGAUGACGGUACCUGAAGAAUAAGCACCGGCUAACUACGUGCCAGCAGCCGCGGUAAUACGUAGGGUGCAAGCGUUAAUCGGAAUUACUGGGCGUAAAGCGUGCGCAGGCGGUUGUGUAAGACAGGUGUGAAAUCCCCGGGCUUAACCUGGGAAUUGCAUUUGUGACUGCACGACUAGAGUGUGUCAGAGGGGGGUGGAAUUCCACGUGUAGCAGUGAAAUGCGUAGAUAUGUGGAGGAACACCAAUGGCGAAGGCAGCCCCCUGGGAUAACACUGACGCUCAUGCACGAAAGCGUGGGGAGCAAACAGGAUUAGAUACCCUGGUAGUCCACGCCCUAAACGAUGUCAACUAGUUGUUGGGGAUUUACUUCCUUGGUAACGUAGCUAACGCGUGAAGUUGACCGCCUGGGGAGUACGGCCGCAAGGUUAAAACUCAAAGGAAUUGACGGGGACCCGCACAAGCGGUGGAUGAUGUGGAUUAAUUCGAUGCAACGCGAAAAACCUUACCUACCCUUGACAUGACAGGAAACUUUCCAGAGAUGGGAUUGGUGCUCGGAAAGGAGAUCCUGCACACAGUGCCUGCCAUGGAUGGUCGUCAGCUCGAGUGUCAGUGGAGAAUGGCUUGGGGAUUUAAAG